CUGCGACAGACUGGCGACCUGUCCAGGGUGACCCCACCUCUCACCUGAUGACUGCUGGAGAUGGGCACCACCAGCCCCCCUCACCACCCUGCAAGGAUCAACGUGUUCAGAUCAUGGAUGGAAAGAUUUUAAGGCAAAGAAGUCACACAGAAAUGUUUUUCACCCCAGGCAUCUGGUCCCAAUCAUCAUCAGUUCUGAUGAAGCCACAUGCAUAGCGAGUCCACAACGUCUUAAAAUUGUUUCUGUAAAGUGCAGUGGUGCAGUUAAUGGGAAUGUUCUGUUGUUGAUCCUCACUAUUCCU